rnacentral:rRNA from 1 species
GAUGAACGCUGGCGGCGUGCCUUACACAUGCAAGUCGAACGGCAGCACGGGUGCUUGCACCUGGUGGCGAGUGGCGAACGGGUGAGUAAUACAUCGGAACGUACCUUAUCGUGGGGGAUAACGCAGCGAAAGUUGCGCUAAUACCGCAUACGCCCUGAGGGGGAAAGCGGGGGACCGUAAGGCCUCGCGCGAUUAGAGCGGCCGAUGUCUGAUUAGCUUGUUGGUGAGGUAAAAGCUCACCAAGGCGAUGAUCAGUAGCUGGUCUGAGAGGACGAUCAGCCACACUGGGACUGAGACACGGCCCAGACUCCUACGGGAGGCAGCAGUGGGGAAUUUUGGACAAUGGGGGCAACCCUGAUCCAGCAAUGCCGCGUGAGUGAAGAAGGCCUUCGGGUUGUAAAGCUCUUUUGUCAGGGAAGAAACAGCAGCUCUAACACAGUCUGCGAAUGACGGUACCUGAAGAAUAAGCACCGGCUAACUACGUGCCAGCCGCCGCCGUAA